rnacentral:rRNA from 1 species
ACGUGAGUAAUCUGCCCCUGGCUUCGGGAUAGCCACCGGAAACGGUGAUUAAUACCGGAUAUGACACCUCCUCGCAUGGGGUGGUGUGGAAAGUUUUUCGGUCAGGGAUGGGCUCGCGGCCUAUCAGCUUGUUGGUGGGGUGAUGGCCUACCAAGGCGACGACGGGUAGCCGGCCUGAGAGGGUGACCGGCCACACUGGGACUGAGACACGGCCCAGACUCCUACGGGAGGCAGCAGUGGGGAAUAUUGCGCAAUGGGCGAAAGCCUGACGCAGCGACGCCGCGUGAGGGAUGAAGGCCU